GAUGAACGCUGGCGGCGUGCCUAAUACAUGCAAGUCGAGCGAACAGACGAGGAGCUUGCUCCUCUGACGUUAGCGGCGGACGGGUGAGUAACACGUGGAUAACCUACCUAUAAGACUGGGAUAACUUCGGGAACCCGGAGCGAAUACCGGAUAAUAUAUUGAACCGCAUGGUUCAAUAGUGAAAGCCGGUUUUGCUGUCACUUAUAGAUGGAUCCGCGCCGCAUUAGCUAGUUGGCAAGGUAACGGCUUACCAAGGCAACGAUGCGUAGCCGACCUGAGAGGGUGAUCGGCCACACUGGAACUGAGACACGGUCCAGACUCCUACGGGAGGCAGCAGUAGGGAAUCUUCCGCAAUGGGCGAAAGCCUGACGGAGCAACGCCGCGUGAGGGAUGAAGGUCUUCGGAUCGUAAAACUCUGUUAUUAGGGAAGAACAAAUGUGUAAGUAACUAUGCACGUCUUGACGGUACCUAAUCAGAAAGCCACGGCUAACUACGUA
rnacentral:rRNA from 1 species